rnacentral:rRNA from 1 species
UACGGGGGGCAAGCGUUGUUCGGAAUCACUGGGCGUAAAGCGUCUGUAGGUGGUUCGAAAAGUCCACUGUUAAAAAUUGAGGCUUAACCUCAAAGAUGCCGUGGAAACUUUCAAACUAGAGUAUGGUAGGGGUAGAGGGAAUUUCCAGUGGAGCGGUGAAAUGCGUAGAUAUUGGAAAGACCACCGAUGGCGAAGGCACUCUACUGGGCCAUUACUGACACUGAGAGACGAAAGCUAGGGGAGCAAAUGGG